rnacentral:rRNA from 1 species
UACGUAGGGUGCAAGCGUUAAUCGGAAUACUGGGCGUAAAGCGUGCGCAGGCGGUGAUGUAAGACAGAUGUGAAAUCCCCGGGCUCAACCUGGGAACUGCAUUUGUGACUGCAUCGCUGGAGUGCGGCAGAGGGGGAUGGAAUUCCGCGUGUAGCAGGUGAAAUGCGUAGAUAUGCGGAGGAACACCGAUGGCGAAGGCAAUCCCCUGGGCCUGCACUGACGCUCAUGCACGAAAGCGUGGGGAGCAAACAGG